UUAGCUAAAAAAUAUUAAUCGGAAGAAGCAAAAGUGGAUGGCGUGGUGCCAGUAAGAUGGUAUUGAUAUGAUUUAGUCUCAAUUAAGUUACUCGCAGACAAAAAAUAAAACCUGUAAACAGUUUCUCUCGAUAUUUACUUGUUCAAGUGCCAGUGAAACGAACGAUAGAAAAAAAGAAGCAUUCAGUAGACUUGCAAUUUUUUUUAAAUAUAUUUUAAAAUGAUUUGAAUAA